rnacentral:rRNA from 1 species
GAUGAACGCUGGCGGCGUGCCUAAUACAUGCAAGUCGAGCGAACAGAUGAGGAGCUUGCUCCUCUGACGUUAGCGGCGGACGGGUGAGUAACACGUGGAUAACCUACCUAUAAGACUGGGAUAACUUCGGGAAACCGGAGCUAAUACCGGACAAUAUAUUGAACCGCAUGGUUCAAUAGUGAAAGACGGUUUUGCUGUCACUUAUAGAUGGAUCCGCGCCGCAUUAGCUAGUUGGUAAGGUAACGGCUUACCAAGGCAACGAUGCGUAGCCGACCUGAGAGGGUGAUCGGCCACACUGGAACUGAGACACGAUCCAGACUCCGACGGGAGGCAGCAGUCGGGAAUCUUCCGCAAUGGGCGAAAGCCUGACGGAGCAACGCCGCGUGAGUGAUGAAGGUCUUCGGAUCGUAAAACGCUGUUAUGAGGGAAGAACAAAUGUGUAAGUAACGAUGCACGUCUUGACGGUACCAAAGCAGAAAGCCACGGCUAGCUACGU